UACGUAGGGGGGCAAGCGUUGUCCGGAUUCAUUGGGCGUAAAGAGCGUGUAGGCGGCCAGGUAGGUCGGUUGUGAAAACUGGAGGCUCAACCUUCAGAGGUCGACCGAAACCAUCUGGCUAGAGUCCGGGAGAGGAGAGUGGAAUUCCUGGUGUAGCGGUGAAAUGCGCAGAUAUCAGGAAGAACACCCGUGGCGAAAGCGGCUCUCUGGAACGGUACUGACGCUGAGGCGCGAAAGCGUGGGGAGCGAACAGG
rnacentral:rRNA from 1 species